rnacentral:lncRNA from 1 species
CUUGGGGACCUCCCAGAGGGAGGGAGGGAGGCUUGGAGGAAGGAAGAGCUGAACAUACACGUGUCUCUUAAAGUGAGGGGGGCGGAUGGACAUCACUGCAUGCUGAGGUCUCUUGCUCUCCUUCACAGCUGUCAGAGCCAAUCACAUAAAGUUUGGGGAGUGUGCAGUCAGGGAGCUCUGCGACAAGACCUUCACAGUCACCAACCGCAGCAAGGAGGAGGUGAUGCGGUUUGAGUGGCUGCUGGCAGAUGCCCCGUUCCAGUUCUCCCCCAAGGUGGGACACCUCCAGCCUGGCCGUGCCAAGAAUAUCAGAGUGACCUUGAAAUCCAAGGUCCCGCUCACCAUCAAAAGGCACUCUGGGAACUGUAAGGUGGCCAAGAUCAAAUACCAGCUGCCACCAGAGGAGGUUUAGGACUGGGACGACAGAAUGCGCAGUGAGAAGUGGGAGGAUACCACCGAGAGACUCCCGGGAGCCCGCUGGCCUUUGAAGCAGAAGGUGGUCAAGGCAGUCCCGGAACCACCUCACACCGUCCUGGAGAGGAGCAGCCACGAGGUCGAGCUUGUCCUCAGUGCUCAGGUUGACUACGCCGAGUUCAGACAUGACACGGUCGAGGUUCAGCUGAAGCAGACUGAGCUCUUCCAGACAGAGAUAAGCACGUGAGUGCUGGGCACCGUGUUGGCCCUUUCCUCCUAAACUUCCAGACUUUGAAAUACUUUGUUUGGGCCACCCAGGGCAGCAAUUCUGAACGUGGCAGAGUUGCCUGGGGAAGGUGGUACCAGGAGCCCACCAGACAGUGUUACUUCAGCACUUGCUUUUUAUUCCUUCUCCUUGUUUUUCAGUUUCCAGAUGUCCAAUACGGGGAAUGUAGCCCUGAAAUACUGCUGGGAGGAGAAUCUGGAGGAGGAAAUACCAUCAAAGAGUUCUGGGAGGCUGUUCUAGUCCACUCAGACAU